rnacentral:RNase_P_RNA from 1 species
UCGGUAAGGCGCUCUAUCGCUGCCUCGCUAAGAGGGAGAGGAAAGUCCGGGCAAGGCAGAGCACCACGCUACCUAACGGGUAGAUGCUCGUAAGGGCAUGAGCCGCGUAACAGAAAACAACCGCCGGCCAGCUGGCCGGUAAGGGUGAAAAGGUGGGGUAAGAGCCUACCGCGGCAGUGGCAACACGCGCCGGCAGUACGCACCGUGGCUUGCAAGACCAAAUACACCAGCGCUACAGGGUGGCUCGCCCGAUGCUGGGGGGUAGGUUGCUGGAGCGCUGCGGCAACGCAGCGCGUAGAUAAAUGAUGGGGCACGACAGAACCCGGCUUACAGCCUUACCGAUUUU